AUUCCAGUCCGCCACCUAAAUCUACGGUCAAUUCCACUGGGUCCUCACAUCCAAGCUGUUUGUUGAUUAUGAAAGGUGGCAAAUGGAACAUCCACAUGUGAUCUUCGGUCAUGACUGGAAUGUUUUCAGAGGUCACAGCGUAAUGAGUAAAGAUGGAUUGGUUGCGCUUAAUUGUUAUGGUGACUAUUGAGAAUGGCUGCGGCUCCUUGGUGUCGCUCUUGGAUGAAUAGAAAAUGCAUACUGUGAAACCUUGCAGCUUACAGCCUUGAAACGGAGGCAUCUGAAAAGAUAGAGAAGGAAUCUCACUCUGAUAGCCAAACCAAUCAGGAAUGUUGCUUCCCGGUAGGGAAAAUUUCGCCGUAGCCAUACCCGCACCGGUCCUGCACAAUUAGAGGAAAGUUGCACAAUGAUUCAGUAUAGCAUUCUAAAAGGUAGAAAAUCGUCUCACAGUGUGCAUGAACCACAUUAGAGAAAGAGAGUGAGAGAGAGUGAACCUGAAAAAGGAACUCUUUGAAGUUGCUUGACAAACUGUAGCACCACUGCAUGUGUAUUGUUCCUGCUGAUUGCAACUUGUCCAAGCCAGAAAUCUCUUCUAUUUUUCUGCAGUUAGUUAGAAAUAACCUCGGUACAUGGCGGAAUUUGGAUAAAGAUACACUUUUCAGCGAUGGACAGUUAACUGCAGACGGAGUUAAUAAAUUUGUCGGCAUAUCGGGAAGCAAUUCAAGCUCCUCGGAAUUGUCAAAUUUAAGGUUUUUGAGUUUCAAGAGACCGCUGACUGUAUCUGAUCUUCCCUUCUUGUCAUCCAUGACCAAAUGAAUGAAGACAAGGAACUGGGCUUCGAAAUCUUGCACCCGCAUAAAGAUAACUUUUUCGGAUUAUUUAAGCAUAUAAUGGGCAAAGGGGCGUGUGUAAUAGCAGUUCCAGCAGCAACAAACUCCAUCUGAGACUCCAUCUCUCGGAGAUUUUCAGGACCAAUUCCUCUAGAUUGGGGAGCCUCGAAAAAUCAGGAGUCUUUCUCAGGAAUUGCAAAUGACUGAGAUUGAGGACUUUCAACUUUGACAGAAACUGUGACAAAGUAUAGAUUUAAGUUUGAAGUUGCUUGCAAAGCAUUUUAUCUCGGUCUAGGAGAAGAGUCAGCAUGCAUUACCUUGUUAUAUUUCCAAGCUACUUUGAGAUUGCUAUGUCGCACGAGACAAACUAGGUGUUCCAUGUGAAAGUCGACCGGGAUAAAACUUAAAAGGAAAUUUCUGCCAGCAAAUCCAUCUCAACUCUUUAGAGAACAGUCCAUAUUUUCCUUCGAGAUGUGUAUGGUUGAGUUGGAGUAGUCUUAAUCGAUUCAUCCGCGCAAAAGCUUCGGCAUUCACUUUCACGAU